rnacentral:rRNA from 1 species
AAAGAUUAAGCCAUGCAUGUCUAAGUAUAAGCAAUUAUACCGUGAAACUGCGAAUGGCUCAUUAAAUCAGUUAUCGUUUAUUUGAUAAUACCUUACUACUUGGAUAACCGUGGUAAUUCUAGAGCUAAUACAUGCUGAAAAUCCCGACUUCGGAAGGGAUGUGUUUAUUAGAUAAAAAACCAAUGCCCUUCGGGGCUCUUUGGUGAUUCAUGAUAACUUUACGGAUCGCAUAGCCUUGCGCUGGCGACGGUUCAUUCAAAUUUCUGCCCUAUCAACUUUCGAUGGUAAGGUAUUGGCUUACCAUGGUUU